AAGGAACCAAACCUUCUUGCUCUCGCUCAGUUCAUAGCAGUGCUCUCUGUGGGCAGAAAUGCAGCUUUCUCUGGAGUUUGUGGGUUUUCUCUACUGUUUUUUCUCCAUACCUAAAAGAAGUGUAAGACGAAGUCGACGUGGUACAUCUGAUACUCUCCGAAAGUUAAACAAGCCAUUUAGGAAAAUGGGAUUGAGUUAUGACAAGCUGAACAGAAGCCCUGAAAGGUCGUGGGCUCAUUUCUUCAUUUAUGUGGACAUUCCAGGAAGGUCCAUCCUGCCUAUCAUCACAUGUCCAGUGCAUAAGACUGUUCCUGACACAUACUAGACACUCCGUCAAUGUCUCUGGACUGAACAAAUGGUGAGAUUUGAUGCCAAAUGGAGUAGGAAAAAACUGCAACCCCAGCCGUCCCCAAAAGGGCGAACAUCUUAAAUCCAUAAGUCAUGCCAACUUUGAAGGUUUUAUUCAACGUUUGAAUCAUGCUCAAACUUGCAGACUUGACUUAGAGCUUAGAUGCUUCAUCUCCAAAGGAAGCUGGCCGUGGAGUAUAACAGGAAAUCUAGUAAGCAAUCUGGAGUUUUCCUCUAGAAAGUGCUGUGGUCUCAAAGUACAGUCCUGGUAUCUGGACACAACGCCACAAAGGUUGCGGCACAGAGGCGCUAAACCCCAUACUCUGAUGGUGUAG
rnacentral:lncRNA from 1 species